rnacentral:SRP_RNA from 1 species
GGACCGGAAGGAAGCAGCCACAGGCGU